rnacentral:rRNA from 1 species
GACCUCGGAUCAGGUAGGGAUACCCGCUGAACUUAAGCAUAUCAUAAGCCGGAGGAA